rnacentral:rRNA from 1 species
GAUGAACGCUGGCGGCGUGCCUAAUACAUGCAAGUCGAGCGAACGGACGAGAAGCUUGCUUCUCUGAUGUUAGCGGCGGACGGGUGAGUAACACGUGGAUAACCUACCUAUAAGACUGGGAUAACUUCGUGAAACCGGAGCUAAUACCGUAUGAUAUUUUGAACCGCAUGGUUCAAAGGUGCAAGACGGUCUUGCUGUCACUUAUAGAUGGAUCCGCGCUGCAUUAGCUAGUUGGUAAGGUAACGGCUUACCAAGGCAACGAUGCAUAGCCGACCUGAGAGGGUGAUCGGCCACACUGGAACUGAGACACGGUCCAGACUCCUACGGGAGGCAGCAGUAGGGAAUCUUCCACAAUGGGCGAAAGCCUGACGGAGCAACGCCGCGUGAGUGAUGAAGGUCUUCGGAUCGUAAAACUCUGUUAUUAGGGAAGAACAUAUGUGUAAGUAACUGUGCACAUCUUGACGGUACCUAAUCAGAAAGCAACGGCUAACUACGUG